AUUGAACGCUGGCGGCAUGCCUUACACAUGCAAGUCGAACGGUAACAGGUCUUCGGAUGCUGACGAGUGGCGAACGGGUGAGUAAUACAUCGGAACGUGCCCGAUCGUGGGGGAUAACGGAGCGAAAGCUUUGCUAAUACCGCAUAAGAUCUACGGAUGAAAGCAGGGGACCGCAAGGCCUUGCGCGAACGGAGCGGCCGAUGGCAGAUUAGGUAGUUGGUGGGAUAAAAGCUUACCAAGCCGACGAUCUGUAGCUGGUCUGAGAGGACGACCAGCCACACUGGAACUGGGGAACGGCCCAGACUCAUACGGGAGGCAGCAGUGGGGAAUUGUGGACAAUGGGCGCAAGCCUGAUCCAGCCAUGCCGCGUGCAGGAUGAAGGCCUUCGGGUUGUAAACUGCUUUUGUACGGAACGAAAAGACUCUUUCUAAUAAAGAGGGUCCAUGACGGUACCGUAAGAAUAAGCACCGGCUAACUACGUGCCAGCCGCCGCGGUAAUAC
rnacentral:rRNA from 1 species